AUUGAACGCUGGCGGCAGGCCUAACACAUGCAAGUCGAACGCGUGGCGGACGGGUGAGUAAUGUCUGGGAAACUGCCUGAUGGAGGGGGAUAACUACUGGAAACGGUAGCUAAUACCGCAUACCAUCGGAUGUGCCCAGAUGGGAUUAGCUAGUAGGGGGGGUAAAGGCUAACCAAGGCGACGAACCCUAGCUGGUCUGAGAGGAUGACCAGGCACACUGGAAAUGAGACACGGUCCAGACUCCGACGGGAGGCAGCAGGGGGGAAUAUUGCACAAUGGGAGCAAGCCUGAUGCAGCCAUGCCUCGUGGAUGAAGAAGGCCUUCGGGUUGGAAAGUACUUUCAGCAGGGAGGCGUUAGCCGCAGAAGAAGCACCGGCUAACUCCGUGCCAGCAGCCGCGGUAAUUC
rnacentral:rRNA from 1 species